UACGAAGGGGGCUAGCGUUGUUCGGAAUUACUGGGCGUAAAGCGCACGUAGGCGGAUUUGUAAGUCAGGGGUGAAAUCCCGGGGCUCAACCUCGGAACUGCCUUUGAUACUGCAAGUCUCGAGUCCGAUAGAGGUGAGUGGAAUUCCUAGUGUAGAGGUGAAAUGCGUAGAGAUGGGGGAGAACACUCGUGGCGAAGGCGGCCAGCUAGACCAGUUCUGACACUGAGGCGCGACAGCGUGGGGAGCAAACAGG
rnacentral:rRNA from 1 species